AAUGAACGCUGGCGGCGUGUCUUAAGCAUGCAAGUCGUGAGGCAAGGGUAGCAAUACCCCUAGAGCGGCGGACUGGUGAGUAACGCGUGGGUGAUCUGCCCUUGGGUUGGGGAUAGCCAUUAGAAAUAGUGGGUAAUACCGAAUACGAUGGCGAGACUGUGGUCUUGUCAUGAAAGGCGCUUCGGCGCCACCCGAGGAUGAGCCCGCGUCCCAUUAGCUAGUUGGUGAGGUAACGGCCCACCAAGGCGAUGAUGGGUAGGCGGCCUGAGAGGGUGUACGCCCACACUGGGACUGAGAUACGGCCCAGACUCCUACGGGAGGCAGCAGUAGGGAAUCUUCGGCAAUGGGCGAAAGCCUGACCGAGCAACGCCGCGUGAAUGAUGAAGGCCUUCGGGUUGUAAAAUUCUGUUAUAAGGGAAGAAUGGCUCUAGUAGGAAAUGGCUAGAGUGUGACGGUACCUUAUGAGAAAGCCACGGCUAACUACGUGCCAGCCGCCGCGGUAA
rnacentral:rRNA from 1 species